GCCGGAGUGGUGGAAUGGCAGACGCGCCGGACUCAAAAUCCGGUGGGGUUAACCCCCGUGAGGGUUCAAGUCCCUCCUCCGGCACCA
rnacentral:tRNA from 1 species